rnacentral:rRNA from 1 species
UAGUCCACGCCGUAAACGAUGGUCACUAGCUGUUCGGACUUCGGUCUGAGUGGCUAAGCGAAAGUGAUAAGUGACCCACCUGGGGAGUACGUUCGCAAGAAUGAAACUCAAAGGAAUUGACGGGGGCCCGCACAAGCGGUGGAGCAUGUGGUUUAAUUCGAUGAUACGCGAGGAACCUUACCAGGGCUUAAAUGCAUAUUGACAGGGGUANAGAUAUCUUUUUCUUCGGACACUUUACAAGGUGCUGCAUGGUUGUCGUCAGCUCGUGCCGUGAGGUGUCAGGUUAAGUCCUAUAACGAGCGCAACCCCUGUUGUUAGUUGCCAGCACAUUAUGGUGGGAACUCUAACAAGACUGCCGGUGCAAACCGUGAGGAAGGUGGGGAUGACGUCAAAUCAUCACGGGCCCCUUACGUCCCUGGGGCUACACACGUGCUACAAUGGUAGGGUACAGAGAGCAGCCACUG